rnacentral:lncRNA from 1 species
UUCAGCAGUUCAUGUGACUUAAACUUUCCUAAAACUUUAUUUUGCACAACAUACAAACCUUCUUUUUUCACAGAGACGACAUCUAAGGAUCAUAGUCACAAGUUUCACAGUUCAGUGGGAACUGCUAAAUGAAUAAGGAAAAUGAAAUGCCAUGAAGGAAAAGAGAAAGGAAGAUUACUGUGCCAAAGAGAGACUAAAAAUAUUAUGUAGCAAUCCAAGGACCUUGUUUUCAGCUCGCUGAUCAAUCACAACUUCAAGUGGCUUCAGUGAAACAUCUGAAGCCCAACACUUCUGAAUGGAAAAACACCAGGUCUGUCUGUGUAGAGUCAGUUUAUUGAAUUAUGCUCUGAGAAGAGGCAUAUACUCCUUGAAUGCCAAGCAGGACAUAAUCUGAUUGGCUUCCUACUGCUGCAAAAUGCACAGUUCUGAGUGAAUUCCUGGAAAAAAUUUUCCUAAGUCUUUGUGCAUUAGUAGGAAUGAUCAUCCAGUCUUACCUUUGCCUUUUAUUUAUUUAUUGCCACAAUACCACUCCAAUGCCAAGAGCGCUUUAAUCUUGCAAAAGAGUGUUUCAGUGAAAUCUCCUGUCGGACUGAUACCAAAUAGACUCAUACAGGAUGGCUGCACAUGGGAAUUAGUGAAAAAUGUAAACUUCAUGGAACAAUAAUUCCUAUGAAAACAAUCUUUCUGCUUGUAGAGACAAAACAUUCCUACCUUAGAGGCAGAGAAAGCAGGAAAGCUUUACACUGUGCAAAAGAGCAAAACGUCCAUUCUCAGCCCUGACAGAGGAAAGUCUACUGCUACGUUAACAGCUGGUGUAACCCUGUCAACACUAUGAACCAAUAUAAAUCUGCCUGGGAGCAUUCCUUGGACUGAUAAAGCUGUGCUAGAAGAACUCCACAGUCAGCUGGGGCUGCACUUAUAAAGACUCCAGAGUCUCUGACUGGUGUUAAAGCAGGACCCUAUUCCCUGAAGUUAAUGGAGUUAUAUCGGGGUAAGUAAAAGGAUUAUCAGGAUAAUCACUGACUUUUCCAGGUUUGUACCUGAUUUACAAAUGAGCUAAUAGGAAUGUAAUGUUCUUCUGUCUGUUUCUAUUCUCCAUUUGUCCAUCAAACCCUUUCCAAUUAAAUAAUUAUGUUGUUCUGUAACAUCUGAUCUAUGUACUGGAGGCUAAAAUUUGCACAGAAAAGCUUAUUGCUUUUGUGCCAACGUGCUUUAAGCUCUUACUUUGUGAGAAGCCAGUUGGCUGCUUUGCUUGCAGAAUCCACCAUCAAUGCGGAUGAGCUGGAAGUAUGAAAUAGGCUUGUCAGUUUUAAGAACUGCAGAAUUUCUUCCUGCAACUGUCUCUCAAAUGCUUCAGAAUGACUUUGCAGUUCUUCAAAACAAUUUUCUAUGCAAUCUGUAGGUUUAUUCACUUUUGACACAGAGGUAUCUUUUGAAUAAAAC